ACUCCUACGGGAGGCAGCAGUGGGGAAUAUUGCACAAUGGGCGCAAGCCUGAUGCAGCGACGCCGCGUGAGGGAUGACGGCCUUCGGGUUGUAAACCUCUUUCAGUACAGACGAAGCGUAAGUGACGGUAUGUACAGAAGAAGCACCGGCCAACUACGUGCCAGCAGCCGCGGUAAUACGUAGGGUGCGAGCGUUGUCCGGAAUUACUGGGCGUAAAGAGCUCGUAGGUGGUUUGUCGCGUUGUUCGUGAAAACCUGAGGCUUAACCUUGGGCGUGCGGGCGAUACGGGCAGACUGGAGUACUGCAGGGGAGACUGGAAUUCCUGGUGUAGCGGUGGAAUGCGCAGAUAUCAGGAGGAACACCGGUGGCGAAGGCGGGUCUCUGGGCAGUAACUGACGCUGAGGAGCGAAAGCGUGGGGAGCGAACAGGAUUAGAUACCCUGGUAGGCGUAGU
rnacentral:rRNA from 1 species